UGGAGGAACAACCCCAGUGGCAGCGGCCAGCUCUGCAGCCCUGGAGUCAGCUCCCGCAGGAACUCCGGAGCUUUCCUUCUGCAGGGCCUGGAUGCUCCGGGGCGGG
rfam:Canis lupus familiaris chromosome 24, whole genome shotgun sequence.